rnacentral:lncRNA from 1 species
GUGACUUCAUGUUAAUUAUCAUAGAGAUACUGCAUCGACAAAAUGGCUGUUCAGCAGAAUUAUCUUUACCCCAUUACAUGUUAUGGAUGGGCAUUCAUUGUAUAUCUUUGGUGUGUUAAUAAAUAGAAUAUCGCCAAUAAAUCACCAAUUUUAUCACCAAAAUGAAACCAAUGAAACCAAACCAAUAAAAGAAAGAGUAGUUAAGCUUUAAUUGGUAGAUUUUCCCAUAUUAAUCCAUUUCAAACGAAACACAUUCUCAGCAUGUGAGAGAGAGCAAUAAUGCAGUAUUUCAUCAUGCAGGUCCUCUGCUUGAUCUGUUUGAUAAUGCAGGUCCUCUGCUUGAUCUGUUUGAUAAUGCAGGUCCUCUGCUUGAUCUGUUUGAUAAUGCAGGUCCUCUGCUUGAUCUGUUUGAUAAUGCAGGUCCUCUGCUUGAUCUGUUUGAUAAUGCAGGUCCUCUGCUUGAUCUGUUUGAUAAUGCAGGUCCUCUGCUUGAUCUGUUUGAUAAUGCACGUCCUCUGCUUGAGCUGUUUGCUAAUGCAAGUCCUCUUCUUGGCCUGCUUGAGCUGUUUGAUAAUGUAAGUCCUCUGCUUGGCCUGCUUGAGCUGUUUGAUAAUGCAGGUCCUCUGCUUGAGCUGUUUGAUAAUGUAAGUCCUCUGCUUGGCCUGCUUGAGCUGUUUGAUAAUGCAGGUCCUCUGCUUGGCCUACUUGAGCUGUUUGAUAAUGCAAGUCCUCUACUUGGCCUGCUUGAGCUGUUUGAUAAUGCAGGUCCUCUGCUUGGCCUGCUUGAGCUGUUUGAUAUAAUGUAAGUCCUCUGCUUGGCCUACUUGAGCUGUUUGAUAAUGCAAGUCCUCUGCUUGAGCUGUUUGAUAAUGCAUGUCCUCUCCUUAUGCUGUUUGAUAAUGCAAGUCCUCUGCUUGGCCUGCUUCAGUUGUUUGAUAGUGCAGGUCCUCUGCUUGGCCUGCUUGAGCUGUUUGAUAAUGUAGAUCCUCUGCUUGGCCUACUUGAGCUGUUUGAUAAUGCAAGUCCUCUGCUUGAGCUGUUUGAUAAUGCAUGUCCUCUGCUUAUGCUGUUUGAUAAUGCAAGUCCUCUGCUUGGCCUGCUUCAGUUGUUUGAUAGUGCAGGUCCUCUGCUUGGCCUGCUUGAGCUGUUUGAUAAUGUAGAUCCUCUGCUUGGCCUGCUUCAGUUGUUUGAUAGUGCAGGUCCUCUGCUUGGCCUGCUUGAGCUGUUUGAUAAUGUAGAUCCUCUGCUUGGCCUGCUUCAGUUGUUUGAUAGUGCAGGUCCUCUGCUUGGCCUGCUUGAGCUGUUUGAUAAUGUAGAUCCUCUGCUUGGCCUGCUUCAGUUGUUUGAUAGUGCAGGUCCUCUGCUUGGCCUGCUUGAGCUGUUUGAUAAUGCAAGUCCUCUACUUGGCCUGCUUGAGCUGUUUGAUAAUGUAGAUCCUCUGCUUGGCCUGCUUGAGCUGUUUGAUAAUGUAAGUCCUCUGCUUGGCCUGCUUGAGCUGUUUGAUAGUGCAAGUCCUCUGCUUAAGCUGUUUGAUAAUGCAAGUCCUCUGCUUGGCCUGCUUGAGCUGUUUGAUAAUGCAGGUCCUCUGCUUGAGCUGUUUGAUAAUGCAGGUCAUCUACCUGCUGUUUGAUAAUGCAGAUCCUCCACUUGAGCUGUUUGAUAAUGCAUGUCCUCUGCUUGAGCUGUUUGAUAAUGCAUGUCCUCUGCUUGAGCUGUUUGAUAAUGCAGGUCCUCUGCUUGAGCUGUUUGAUAAUGCAGGUCCUCUGCUUGAGCUGUUUGAUAAUGCAGGUCCUCUACCUGCUGUUUGAUAAUGCAGGUCCUCCACUUGAACUGUUUGAUAAUGCAUGUCCUCGGCUUGGCCUGCUUGAGCUGUUGGAUAAUACAUGUCCUCUGCUUGAGCUGUUCGAUAAUGCAGGUCCUCUGCUGGAGCUGUUUGAUAAUGCAGGUCCUCUGCUUGAGCUGUUUGAUAAUGCAGGUCCUCUGCUUGAGCUGUUUGAUAAUGCAGGUCCUCUGCUUGAGCUGUUUGAUAAUGCAGGUCCUCUGCCUGUUUCUAGCACCAAUCCAGUCUCUGUGUUUAUCUGUGAGGGAGGGAGGGCCAUCAAGGACAGAG